GAUGAAGAACUUAGUGAAAUGCGAUAACUAAUGUGAAUUGCAGAAUUCAGUGAAUCAUCGAGUCUUUGAACGCACAUUGCGCCCCCUGGUAUUCCGGGGGGCAUGCCUGUCCGAGCGUCAUUGCUGCCCUCAAGCACGGCUUGUGUGUUGGGCUCCGUCCCCCCGGGGACGGGCCCGAAAGGCAGCGGCGGCACCGAGUCCGGUCCUCGAGCGUAUGGGGCUUUGUCACCCGCUCUGUAGGCCCGGCCGGCGCCAGCCGACAACCCAUCAUCCUUUUCAGGUUGACCUCGGAUCAGGUAGGGAUACCCGCUGAACUAAAGCAUAUCAAUAAGCGGAGGA
rnacentral:misc_RNA from 1 species